GACGAACGCUGGCGGCGUGCUUAACACAUGCAAGUCGAAUGGUAAGGCCCUUCGGGGUACACGAGUGGCGAACGGGUGAGUAACACGUGGGUGAUCUGCCCUGCACUUCGGGAUAAGCCUGGGAAACUGGGUCUAAUACCGGAUAGGACCACUGCCUGCAUGGGUGGUGGUGGAAAGCUUUUGCGGUGUGGGAUGGGCCCGCGGCCUAUCAGCUUGUUGGUGGGGUGAUGGCCUACCAAGGCGACGACGGGUAGCCGGCCUGAGAGGGGGACCGGCCACACUGGGACUGAGAUACGGCCCAGACUCAUACGGGAGGCAGCAGUGGGGAAUAUUGCACAAUGGGCGCAAGCCUGAUGCAGCGACGCCGCGUGAGGGAUGACGGCCUUCGGGUUGUAAACCUCUUUCAGCACCGACGAAGCGCAAGUGACGGUAGGUGCAGAAGAAGGACCGGCCAACUACGUGCCAGCAGCCGCAGUAA
rnacentral:rRNA from 1 species